ensembl:snoRNA small nucleolar RNA SNORA17
UAUGCUCCUAGAGGCAUUUCAGGUGUGGCUGCUGUGUCACGUGUACAUCAGUAGGUGGCAGAGAGGUGAGAGCCCAUGUCCACACUCAGUGUUCUGACUUAUGAACAUCUGAAUGAGUAGCCUAAUGUU